AGAGUUUGAUCCUGGCUCAGGAUGAACGCUAGCGGCAGGCUUAAUACAUGCAAGUCGAGGGGUAGCAUGAUUGUAGCAAUACAAUUGAUGACGACCGGCAAACGGGUGCGGAACACGUACACAACCUUCCUACAAGUGGGGAGUAGCCCAGAGAAAUUUGGAUUAAUACCCCGUAACAUAGCGAUGUGGCAUCACAUUGCUAUUAUAGCUUCGGCGCUUGUUGAUGGGUGUGCGGCUGAUUAGAUAGUUGGCGGGGUAACGGCCCACCAAGUCUACGAUCAGUAGCUGAUGUGAGAGCAUGAUCAGCCACACGGGCACUGAGACACGGGCCCGACUCCUACGGGAGGCAGCAGUAAGGAAUAUUGGACAAUGGACGCAAGUCUGAUCCAGCCAUGCCGCGUGAAGGAUUAAGGUCCUCUGGAUUGUAAACUUCUUUUAUAAGGGACGAAAAAAGGUCUUUCUAGAUCGUCUGACGGUACCUUAUGAAUAAGCACCGGCUAACUCCGUGCCAGCAGCCGCGGUAAUACGGAGGGUGCAAGCGUUAUCCGGAUUCACUGGGUUUAAAGGGUGCGUAGGCGGGCAGGUAAGUCAGUGGUGAAAUCCUAGAG
rnacentral:rRNA from 1 species